rnacentral:lncRNA from 1 species
ACAAAUUGUAAAAUAACUCAAUACUUUUCAACUGACUAUCCCUAACACAGAUAGUAACACAGAUAAUAAAUAAUUUGAUGGUUGGUAUCUGAUGUCUCAAAUUCACAAUCUAGUUAUUUUAUAUUUCUCACUAAAUUUAUUUUUAAAAAAAAUUAGGAAAAAGAGUAGCAUGCAUGCUACACUUCUCCCUCUCAAAAUAAGCCGCAAACCAAUAACACUAUAUUCGGAUGCAUAGCAAAAAAAAAAAAAAUUUCACAAUUGCACAAACAUAUA